UACAUGGGGUGCAAACGUUGCUCGGAAUUAUUGGGCGUAAAGCGCACGUAGGUGGUCUGUUAUGUCAGAUGUGAAAGCCCUCGGCUUAACUGAGGAAGUGCACCUGAAACUGGCAGGCUUGAGUACGAAAGAGGGUCGCGGAAUUCCCGGUGUAGAGGUAAAAUUCGUAGAUAUCGGGAGGAACACCGGUGGCGAAGGCGGCGACCUGGUUCGAUACUGACACUGAGGUGCGAAAGCGUGGGGAGCAAACAGG
rnacentral:rRNA from 1 species